CCCACCAAGGGGGGAUUAUUUUGUCCAAUGGCACCUUUAUCAGAGCCUAGUACAAUCACUGUGAAUUGCAGAAGCCAGCAGAAGAUGAGGACAUUGUCACGGCAGGUGAAAUGCCGUAUCUUGAUGUUCAAACACUUACUGUCUGGAUGAAUUCAAAGUGCCCCCCCUGCUGGUGGAAGUUGAGGGGCUGGCGGUUGCGCAUCCAGAGGAUGCUGACAUCCAAGGAGGGGUCAUGGACGGCCUUGCAGGAACUGGAGGCUUUUUGCCAGGAAGAAUGGGCAGCUUUACCAUCUGAGAAGGUAAAGAGCCUCAUCCACAACUACCACAAAAGACUUCAAGCUGUCAUUGAUGUUAAAGGGCGCCAAUACACGGUACUAAGAACUGGGGUAUGUAAACUUUUGAUCAGGGUCAUUUCGGUAGUUUCUGUUCUCAUUAUGAUUUUAAAAAAAGUAAACACAGUUGUUUGACAAUAAAUGGCUUCAGCCAGCCACUAACCAUGAGUGAAAGGAAAGUUUUUGUGUUAUCAUUCAUAUUCUCUAAAAAAUGGUUCAGAAAUCAUAAAUUCUGCCAGGGUAUGUAAACAUAUGAGCACAACUGUAUUUACACAGCCUGUAUUUU